AUUGAACGCUGGCGGCAGGCCUAACACAUGCAAGUCGAGCGGAUGAAGGAAGCUCGCUCCUGGAUUCCGCGGCGGACGGGCGAGUAAUGCAUAGGAAUAUGCCCUGUAGUGGGGGCUAACGUCAGGUCACGGGCGCUAAUACCGCAUACGUCCUGAGGGUGAAAGUGGUGGAUCUUCGGACCUCACGCUAUCAGAUGUGCCUACGUCGGAUUAGCUAGUUGGUGAGGUAAAGGCUUACCAAGGCGACGAUCCGUAACUGGUCUGAGAGGGUGAUCAGUCACACUGGAACUGAGACACGGUCCAGACUCCUACGGGAGGCAGCAGUAGGGAAUAUUGGACAAAGGGCGAAAGCCUGAUGCAGCCAUGCCGCGUGAGUGAAGAAGGUCUUCGGAUUGUAAAGCACUGUUAGUAGGGAAGAAGGAAAGUAAGUGAAUACAUGGCUGUUUUGACGUUACCAACAGAAAAAGCACCGGCUAACUUCGUG
rnacentral:rRNA from 1 species